rnacentral:rRNA from 1 species
CCUACGGGAGGCAGCAGUGGGGAAUUUUGGACAAUGGACGCAAGUCUGAUCCAGCAAUGCCGCGUGCAGGACGAAGGCCUUCGGGUUGUAAACUGCUUUUGUACGGAACGAAACGGUCUGCUUUAAUACAGUGGGUUAAUGACGGUACCGUAAGAAUAAGCACCGGCUAACUACGUGCCAGCAGCCGCGGUAAUACGUAGGGUGCGAGCGUUAAUCGGAAUUACUGGGCGUAAAGCGUGCGCAGGCGGUUAUAUAAGACAGAUGUGAAAUCCCCGGGCUCAACCUGGGACCUGCAUUUGUGACUGUAUAGCUAGAGUACGGUAGAGGGGGAUGGAAUUCCGCGUGUAGCAGUGAAAUGCGUAGAUAUGCGGAGGAACACCGAUGGCGAAGGCAAUCCCCUGGACCUGUACUGACGCUCAUGCACGAAAGCGUGGGGAGCAAACAGGAUUAGAUACCCUGGUAGUCCACGCCCUAAACGAUGUCAACUGGUUGUUGGGUCUUCACUGACUCAGUAACGAAGCUAACGCGUGAAGUUGACCGCCUGGGGAGUACGGCCGCAAGGUUGAAACUUAAAUGAAAUUGACGG